rnacentral:tRNA from 1 species
GCCUUCGUGGUGUAGUGGUCAGCACGCUCGACGCGUAACCGAGAGGUCCAUGGUUCGACUCCUGACGAAGGCG